AAAAUAAUAAUAAUAAAUGAGAAAAAGGCACCUAAAUAAACCCCCCCAGCUACUCCUUCGCCGAUUUCCAUCGAGAAUUUCUUGAAGAUGAAUGAUCGGAGAGAGGCGGCAUAAGAAAGGUGCGUGCCGAUCAGGAUGGAGAAGCAGGGCACGUGCAUUACUCACUCAUGUAACUCCACACCCACGUGGCUGCCUCCGAGUGGGUUGUUCAUGUGCCCCUCUUCUCCAUCCUGACCACUGCAACCUUCCCUAUUUUCAUAUCAUCCUUUUUUUUCCAGCUGUAUUAGAAGCUGUUGCUUCCGCAGGAAUGAUUGAGAAAUAAUUAUCCAGGUGGGAGGGUAGUUGGAUAAAGCUAGUUUUUCUUUUUUUUUCAAUUAUUUUUACAACAACAACCUAGGUAAGGUGUGGAAAUCAAAUCUAGGUUGAUAAUAACAUUAUAGAAUCUAUAAUUGAAUUACGUUCGUUUUGAUAUUAGAUGAAACUAUUUAGCUAAUAGAGCAUAUGGAAAGUAAAUGUAUGUAAUUAACUUACACUUGUAAUUGAUUUCGUAUUUAUUAUGGUAACCCAAAAACAUCCGAUAUCUCUUGAAAAGUGCAAUGAACCGAAUGAUAUUAAGCUUUGCAUGUUUGUAUUAUUUUUGGAAAGAGAGAAGAAAAAACCGAUAAGAUAAGUUUAUCAGGGCUAAUGUUUAAAAACAAACCCAGAAUGUUUUAGAGGGACUAAUAAUGAAAAUUUAUAGAGAGAGGAGAUUAAGAAAUAGGAGAGAAUAGAAAGUAAAAUGAGUGAAAUAUUGUGGCAUCGUUAUAAAAAGGGGAAUAGGAAUGAAGAAGUAAUAGUGGUAGCUAGAGCUACUGGGCAUUUUGAAAAUUAAGGAUCCUGGAAAGUUACGAAUAUCCCGAUGAGGGGGAGACAAAGUGGGAGUAAUAGAUAAUUGGGAUAACAAGUUUUUGGCUUGCUUACUUUCAGCUUUGCUUUGCCACGAUUGCUUGUGUUAUGACAGAUCCACAAACUUCUAGAUUCGCCCCACGACAAAAUAAAUUAACUCUUUCGGGGGGAAUUCUUUCCUUUUGAAAUAUCUAUUUUAUGAUAUUCAAGUUAAUUCAAAAUUAAAUAAUCAAUCUCUCAUCACUCUUUGAUUUGUUGAAAGUUAAAACUUAUUACAGAUGGGAAUUUAUAGCGUAAAGGAACAGAACAAGAUACAAAAAAUCCACAGUAUCCAAUUUCAAAUUCGAUGCAACAGUUGAAAAUUACAAACACGCGUGGGAAAAACUAAAAAGAGAAGGUACAAGUUCUUGACGUCAUACUAUGUUCCAACCAAAAUAAAUUAAAUUCCAAAUUAUGACUUAAAAAAAAAAAUAGGAAAGCUUCAAUUACUUUCAGCGUCUCUUCUUUGAACUUAUUCCACAUGGGGCGCCUCUCGUCUUAACAUGUGACCUUUCACUGUACAUUGUCUCACAAUUGACUCCUCCUUCAAGGGAGAAACUAAGCAGAGAAAAAAGACACUGCACUAAUGAAACAAUCCAGAGCUGUACAAUUCAUGAAUUCAAUCAAAGGAAAAAAUAAUUUCAUAUCAUGAAUUUUGCAAUCGGAACUUUUCUAUACUAAAUUGCCUUCAUACACCUUAGUAGACCUUACAUUAAUAUCUGGGAAUCCUGCCAUAUUUUCUUAAAAAGCAUGUUCAAAUGAAUACAAUAUUAAGUUAAUUACAACCGAUCUUUAAGUUCAAACAAUCACUUACACUAAAUAUAUAUACACAUACAUAUGUAUGUAUGUAUGUAUAUGAUAUAUGCGUGUGAGUGAGAAUAUGUGAAUCAGUUGCGAUAAGUGAAAUAAAUCCACUAAAUUCCAGUUAAAUCUUCCAUCAAUCAAUCACAAUAGAUGUGGAAUUAAUCCACUUGAUAUCCACACAGGGACUUGCACUGAAACACUUGUCCCAACAAAAAAGCCAAAGAGCACUGUACCAAAGUAAAAAGGAUGAAAGCAAGCAGAAGAGGGAUCAGUUGCAGUUGAUAAGAAGCUAACUUCAACAAAUUUUGAGCACAAUAAGUCAAAUGAAUUUUGAGCAAUUUCAAAAGUGUGAAGAUAGCAAGGCAACUGUGUAUGGGUAUUAUAUUACUAAAUCCUUCUGAAGAUCUCUCUCUUCGAAGAUAAUGUAGUUUUGAUGAUUUUUCAGUUCUCUUUUGCUGACUAUUGUUUCAUGUAAUGACUUGUAUUCAGCCACUAGAAAUAAAGACGUCCCACCAUCCUUGUGUAGCCAACUGCGUAGGCCUUGGAAUAUUAAAUAGAGAAAUCAUCAAUACCUUAUGUUUAUGCAAAGUUCGUUCAAAUAUACUUUUUAAUUUCACAACAGGUUCCAACUUCCAUUAGUGGAACUGGGAAGAUCCUAAAAGUUGAUGGUGAGUGAGAUUCAACUUGGAGCUGCCUUCAAGAGAGAGAGAGAAAAGCUUCUUCUCAUCAUAUUGGUGUCAACUAAGAAGCUUUUUCAGUUCUUUUUUCUUUUCUCACCAAACAACUAAAAGCUAAGUUGAAUCAGCUUAAGAUACGGUUUCAGUGCUUUCCAUGUGGAACAAUUUUCUGAAAGUUCUUUUGAUACAGUUGUGUUUAAAAAAAGGAUUCUGUAUUGUUCAAAAGUUACUGUGCAACUAUUCUUGCUGUCCA